rnacentral:lncRNA from 1 species
UAUUUGUAUAUGUUAGUAAAUUAAUCUUAUUGGACAACUUGUUAUUUAUAUAUUUUUGAAUUUGACUUCGUUAAUUUGUAAAAGAUAUGAUUGAAUAUGUUAUUAGUUGUAUUUAUGUAGUGUUAUUGUAAAUGUUUAAAAUAUAAUUAUGGUAUGAAACCAAACCAAACCCGAACGGUUUCAUAAUUAUAUUUUGACCCGAUGGUUCCACUUACUAAAUACCCAAACUUUUCGGUUCGAUUCGGUUGUAAAGAAAACCAAAUCGAACAAGACUAUGCCCAGCUCUAGUUGAUAUAUUGCAUUUAAUGUUUAUCAUAAAAAGUAUAUGAAUUUGGAUAAAAUUAAUUUUUCUAAGUUCUAAUGUGCACAGUACCUAUAAAGAUAUUGAAGACUAAUCUGCAAUUCGUUGAAAUUUAACAUUUCCAUCGUCCAAUACAGCCAUGCGCUUCCUCUUUUUCGAUAACUUGGUGGAGUCUAUGAACUGGGCAGCUGUUCGAGCUCGCAAUUCCUCUAAGCUCUCACCUUCUUUGGCUCUCUCAAGAACCUGAAAAGCAGCAAGCAGGCAAUUAGG